CAGUGCUAUGGUUGCUGCUAAGCCAUGGCGGUAGCGUG
rfam:Serratia sp. M24T3 contig033, whole genome shotgun sequence.